rnacentral:rRNA from 1 species
GGGUUGUGAGGUUAAGCGACUAAGCGUACACGGUGGAUGCCCUGGCAGUCAGAGGCGAUGAAGGACGUGCUAAUCUGCGAAAAGCGUCGGUAAGGUGAUAUGAACCGUUAUAACCGGCGAUGUCCGAAUGGGGAAACCCAGUGCAAUUCGUUGCACUAUCGUUAACUGAAUACAUAGGUUAACGAGGCGAACCGGGGGAACUGAAACAUCUAAGUACCCCGAGGAAAAGAAAUCAACCGAGAUUCCCCCAGUAGCGGCGAGCGAACGGGGAGCAGCCCAGAGUCUGAAUCAGCUUGUGUGUUAGUGGAACGGUCUGGAAAGUCCGACGGUACAGGGUGAUAGUCCCGUACACCAAAAUGCACAGGCUGUGAACUCGAAGAGUAGGGCGGGACACGUGGUAUCCUGUCUGAAUAUGGGGGGACCAUCCUCCAAGGCUAAAUACUCCUGACUGACCGAUAGUGAACCAGUACCGUGAGGGAAAGGCGAAAAGAACCCCGGCGAGGGGAGUGAAAAAGAACCUGAAACCGUGUACGUACAAGCAGUGGGAGCACCUUCGGGUGUGACUGCGUACCUUUUGUAUAAUGGGUCAGCGACUUAUAUUCUGUAGCAAGGUUAACCGUAUAGGGGAGCCGCAGGGAAACCGAGUCUUAACUGGGCGUUAAGUUGCAGGGUAUAGACCCGAAACCCGGUGAUCUAGCCAUGGGCAGGUUGAAGGUUGGGUAACACUAACUGGAGGACCGAACCGACUAAUGUUGAAAAAUUAGCGGAUGACUUGUGGCUGGGGGUGAAAGGCCAAUCAAACCGGGAGAUAGCUGGUUCUCCCCGAAAGCUAUUUAGGUAGCGCCUCGUGAACUCAUCUUCGGGGGUAGAGCACUGUUUCGGCUAGGGGGUCAUCCCGACUUACCAACCCGAUGCAAACUACGAAUACCGAAGAAUGUUAUCACGGGAGACACACGGCGGGUGCUAACGUCCGUCGUGAAGAGGGAAACAACCCAGACCGCCAGCUAAGGUCCCAAAGUCAUGGUUAAGUGGGAAACGAUGUGGGAAGGCACAGACAGCCAGGAUGUUGGCUUAGAAGCAGCCAUCAUUUAAAGAAAGCGUAAUAGCUCACUGGUCGAGUCGGCCUGCGCGGAAGAUGUAACGGGGCUAAACCAUGCACCGAAGCUGCGGCAGCGACGCUUAUGCGUUGUUGGGUAGGGGAGCGUUCUGUAAGCCUGCGAAGGUGGCCUGUGAGGGCUGCUGGAGGUAUCAGAAGUGCGAAUGCUGACAUAAGUAACGAUAAAGCGGGUGAAAAGCCCGCUCGCCGGAAGACCAAGGGUUCCUGUCCAACGUUAAUCGGGGCAGGGUGAGUCGACCCCUAAGGCGAGGCCGAAAGGCGUAGUCGAUGGGAAACAGGUUAAUAUUCCUGUACUUGGUGUUACUGCGAAGGGGGGACGGAGAAGGCUAUGUUAGCCGGGCGACGGUUGUCCCGGUUUAAGCAUGUAGGCUGGUUAUCCAGGCAAAUCCGGAUAAUCAAGGCUGAGGUGUGAUGACGAGGCACUACGGUGCUGAAGUAACAAAUGCCCUGCUUCCAGGAAAAGCCUCUAAGCAUCAGGUAACAUCAAAUCGUACCCCAAACCGACACAGGUGGUCAGGUAGAGAAUACCAAGGCGCUUGAGAGAACUCGGGUGAAGGAACUAGGCAAAAUGGUGCCGUAACUUCGGGAGAAGGCACGCUGGUGUGUAGGUGAAGUCCCUGCGGAUGGAGCUGAGACCAGUCGAAGAUACCAGCUGGCUGCAACUGUUUAUUAAAAACACAGCACUGUGCAAACACGAAAGUGGACGUAUACGGUGUGACGCCUGCCCGGUGCCGGAAGGUUAAUUGAUGGGGUUAUCCGUAAGGAGAAGCUCUUGAUCGAAGCCCCGGUAAACGGCGGCCGUAACUAUAACGGUCCUAAGGUAGCGAAAUUCCUUGUCGGGUAAGUUCCGACCUGCACGAAUGGCGUAAUGAUGGCCAGGCUGUCUCCACCCGAGACUCAGUGAAAUUGAACUCGCUGUGAAGAUGCAGUGUACCCGCGGCAAGACGGAAAGACCCCGUGAACCUUUACUAUAGCUUGACACUGAACAUUGAGCCUUGAUGUGUAGGAUAGGUGGGAGGCUUUGAAGCGUGGACGCCAGUCUGCGUGGAGCCAACCUUGAAAUACCACCCUUUAAUGUUUGAUGUUCUAACGUUGGCCCCUUACCGGGGUUGCGGACAGUGUCUGGUGGGUAGUUUGACUGGGGCGGUCUCCUCCCAAAGAGUAACGGAGGAGCACGAAGGUUAGCUAAUCCUGGUCGGACAUCAGGAGGUUAGUGCAAUGGCAUAAGCUAGCUUGACUGCGAGCGUGACGGCGCGAGCAGGUGCGAAAGCAGGUCAUAGUGAUCCGGUGGUUCUGAAUGGAAGGGCCAUCGCUCAACGGAUAAAAGGUACUCCGGGGAUAACAGGCUGAUACCGCCCAAGAGUUCAUAUCGACGGCGGUGUUUGGCACCUCGAUGUCGGCUCAUCACAUCCUGGGGCUGAAGUAGGUCCCAAGGGUAUGGCUGUUCGCCAUUUAAAGUGGUACGCGAGCUGGGUUUAGAACGUCGUGAGACAGUUCGGUCCCUAUCUGCCGUGGGCGCUGGAGAAUUGAGGGGGGCUGCUCCUAGUACGAGAGGACCGGAGUGGACGCAUCACUGGUGUUCGGGUUGUCAUGCCAAUGGCAUUGCCCGGUAGCUAAAUGCGGAAGAGAUAAGUGCUGAAAGCAUCUAAGCACGAAACUUGCCCCGAGAUGAGUUCUCCCUGAGACUUUAAGUCUCCUGAAGGAACGUUGAAGACGACGACGUUGAUAGGCCGGGUGUGUAAGCGCAGCGAUGCGUUGAGCUAACCGGUACUAAUGAACCGUGAGGCUUAACCUUACAACGCCGAAG